GCCUUCGUGGUGUAGUGGUCAGCACGCUCGGCGCGUAUUCGAGAGGUCCGUGGUUCGAUUCCUGGCGAAGGCG
rnacentral:tRNA from 1 species